ensembl:lncRNA
AAUCAGACACUACAUAUUUAAGGAACAAAUUAAAGAGAAAAUAUACUUUGUUGUCAUUGUUGAAUCAUACUGUAUUUAACUUUUUUUAAUCCCAGAGAAGUGAAAUGCAACAUCUGUUGAGUUCAUGUAACAUCCAAAGACUGACAACUCAGAAUUUCCUAAGUAAAGUCAUUUUAAGGCACUCUGCAGAGCCAGCUUUCAUCUCUCCCUUCAUUGGGUUUUUCUCCGAACUGUAGCAGAAUACCUGGUUUCUCUUUCUUCAAAGUGAUACACACAUGCUCAUGCGCUUAACCUGCUCUUCUGUCCUCGACAACACCGACAAACAGGACAAUUCCAGGGGGAAGCAGGGAAGGACGGACAUAUGGGGGAGAGCAGGAAAGGAGACAGCAGAGUGGACAUAUAUGACCAAAUUAACAGAUGCGGCUGUAGCAGAAAACACAAGGAGCAGGAAGAAACUGGAACAGGGUGGGGUAGACCAGAUGGCUAGUGCCUGGUGAAAAAUAAGCUACAUUACCCAAGGAGGUUUAAAUUAAUUUAACUGUUUUUUUUUUUCUUUUUUCAUUUUUAAGACAGGGCCAAUGUAAGGGAGGUAUCUCAAAAUUCUGGAACAUCUAUAUCAGUAAGUGUGCUUUCUUGUGCUUACGUGCUUAGGAAGGGCUGAUCUGAGAGACGGGUAUGAUGUGGGGGGCUCUGAAAUGCCCUCUGAUAAAAAUAAGCUCCUGGGGCCAGGGAUUCAGCUCAGUGGUUCCACCACCUGUCUCAAAAGCACAAGGUCCCGAGUUUGAUCCCUGGUACCAAAAAAAAAAAAAAGCUCCCUUACCAGCCCACUUCUGUGCCUGGAAUUUCCACCACUACAGCUCUCCUCUGGAUUAAGGCAUUAUCUGUAGCCCCUUUAAAACAUAAAUGUCACCUGGGAAACUAACACUCAACUCUUUAGCACCCACUGCUGAAUUGCCACCUGUCAGAGAGCAGGACCCUGAGAGAUGGGACUUGGGGCAGGGACAUUCUGAUGAAUGAGUUGGAAAAGGAUGCCUGGUGGUAUGAAUGAAGGAUGGGGAGGGGCCAGGCAGCUGAGGGGUGCAACAUGGUGCUUGUCCCAGGAAAGUACUUAGACGGGGGAUGAAGGUUAACAAAAUGAGCUCUUCCCACAGCACAGGCUUCCAUAGGUGCUGUGUGUGUGUGUGUGUGUGUGUGUGUGUGUGUGUAGUGUGCCCAGCAGUUUUUAAUAUUACAACAUUCUGCGUAUAUAUAGAAUAUAAGAUUCACUUGAGCCCAUCCUGAAAUAGUACAACUCCAGUGAGUGAAAGACAGCAAAGUCCUCAAUUGCUUUCAUGGAAAAUGUCAUCACUGUAAAGUUGAAAUUAGUAUCUCUAUAGACCUAGAUAGUGAACAGGCAGACAGUGUAUGCAUAUGUACACAUGCACACAUACAUUUACACACACAUUUACUCACACUCAGCAGUGUGGCUCUCAUAAAUGUCAAGGGUGAGACGCCUCUUCUCAGCCAUCUAGGAUUUGGAUGUGUGGUGGCUGCCGCCAGGAUUUUGGACAAAGGACUUAGCUUGGGGGCAAUGGGACCCCUUCCUUGGUCACCAGUAGACCUUCUGUUAUUGAGAUGGAACAGCAGAAAUGGCCAAGCCUUGGAUUAUAAAAACUGGCAUGAGUCUUACCGUUAGGAUUGGGACUUGGAGACAGGAAUGUCAAUGAUGUGCCCUUUUAAACUUCUAGAGUUUGGGAGACUGGGGGAGGCACAGGUGGAGAGAGAAUCCAGGCAGGGGACAGGUUUCUGCUCCUAGAAAAGUUGGAAAUCACCUACCUGGGAGCAGACCCCACUCUCAGCAUUUGGCUCCGGGGACCUGCUACCACUCCAGGGAUCUGUCAGGGAGGAAGUCAGCUGGAGGAAUGGGAAGAGGACUCUAGAGGAAGCUUGGGAAUGACAGGAGGAUGGGUUCUGGGUUGUGGAGAGGGGUGAAGAACGGAAGACACCAGAAAUACUUCUUAACCCUAUUUUCACAUUGGAGUUAUCUGGGGGAACUUAGAAAGCACGGAUGCCUGACAUCUACCCUUGGAGAUUCUGCUGUAACUGUUUUGGAGAGGACAUCAGGCAUGGACACUCUUUCUAGCUCCUCAGAUGAUUCUAAUGUGCACCUGGUGAUAAGGAUAUGGCCCCAAAGCAGGAUGAGGACUCUAGUCAGGGAAAGAGUUGAAGGGGAGCAUAGGUACAAGGGGAGUGGGUUGAGAGGAUUCUCAGAGUUUCGGUCUAGACAGUCGAGCCUGUGCUGAUUUGGGUGGUGGCUUUACAGCCUUCUAGCUGGUGUUUUCUAAUGUCAUUUCUGGUUGAAAAAUCUGGCUGGGGUGGAAGUGUUUGGGCAUAAGGAGAGACUUUCCCCUCUUUUUCCUGUGUCUUCCAAGAGGAAUAAUUCACUGUGCUCUACGGGGGCCAAGAAGACACAUUCUGGGAUUGAUGCUUCAAAGAGGGAAGUGGACUUUCUGCUGUAGAAUAAAUACAUAUUUCAUAAGUAAAUUAAGUCAGUAGGUAUGCCGAUAAAUAAAGCAAUAAAUAAAACAAUCACAACAUUUUUGUUCUCUUAGGGGAGUUCUCCACUUGUUCCACUAAUUCUGAUCAUGUACACUCUACCCUUGGCCACUGGAAGGCACUCAGCCUGGCCAUGGUAGGGGAAAGCACUGCUUUGGCCCUGGCUCUCCAAGGAUUGGAGACCUUGGAGAAAGCACAAGAGAUUAUUAACACUGGCCACCCACGUGGAGGGGGAGGAGCAGGGGAGUCCACACCUUCCUCUGUUUCCUACCCAAGACUGUGUAGGGACAGGAGGCAGGGUUUGGGAACCAAGGCUGGGCCAUGUUAGAUAUUGAAGCCCAGGCUGACCAGCUCUUUGUCCUUGGGAGGCUUCACCGGGUGGGUUUGGGAUGGACUUGAGGUCUGGAUGAACCCAAUCUUUCCACACACAAAAAAGAUACAGCAGGCAUAACUCCCAAUUCAACACAGCCCGCCACCAGCCAACCAGUCGGCCCAGUUGGGCACAUGGUAGGGUACUGGAUAGGAGGGACUGGUCACAGGAUGGGAGGGUGGCGAGGAGACAGGCAGGAUGGCACGCGAUUUAAUGGAAACCAGCUGUCCAGGGCUUCAGCUUCUGGAGCCACCAGCCAGUGCUCAUUUCCUCCUCCUUAGUCUCUGCCAUGUGGUUCUGCUUGCUGGGCUUUGCCUUGUCUACUAGGAGACCUGCAUGAAGACAUGGAAACACGUAAACAGAGCGGAUAUUAAGACAGUGAGCAAAGAAAUGCUAUUCUUUC